AGAACGAACGCUGGCGGCAUGCCUAAUACAUGCAAGUCGAACGAAGGCUUCGGUCUUAGUGGCGCACGGGUGCGUAACGCGUGGGAAUCUGCCCCUUGGUUCGGAAUAACAGUUGGAAACGACUGCUAAUACCGGAUGAUGACGAAAGUCCAAAGUAUUUAUCGCCAAGGGAUGGACGCCCGCGUAGGAUUAGCUAGUUGGUGAGGUAAAGCUCACAAGGCGACGAUCCUUAGCUGGUCUGAGAGGAUGAUCAGCCACACUGGGACUGAGACACGGGCCCAGACUCCGUACGGGAGGCGAGCGAAGUAGGGAAUAGUUGGACAAGUGGGACGAAACGC
rnacentral:rRNA from 1 species